AUUCGACCAGUGUUUUCCAAGCACCUCGCACGAGCCAGGAACUGCUUGUGCUUUGGGACUGAAACGGCCACAACAUGGGCCACAGGCUCUGUCCCCGAGCAGCUUCCAGGUGGGGUGACUUGGAGGAUGUGUCCUGUGGGGGGUGAGGACCUCAGGACUGCCUGUGGGAAGGGGGAGGAGGCUGUCAAACUGCGUCUCUGGGGAAGGUCUUCCCAAGAAGGCAGCCUCUCAACAGACACCCUGCAAAGGGGGCGAGAAGCCAGCGUGUGCUCAGGGACAGCCAGAGGCUGGGUGCUGGAGGGGCAGGAGGUGAGCCUGGAGGGUGCGGGGGGAGGGGCCCACCUCUAGGGCCUCUGUAGGAUCUUGGCCUUGCCCCUGCCCUCCCCUGCACUGAGAUGGGUUUUGAGCAUGGGUGACCAAGGCUCACCAAGAAAGGAGUGCAGAGGUCAAGGUCGAGGGCAGUGACUUGGCUUCUCCGAGCCCCACUUUCCUCUUCCGCGCACAAGAUGACGACGACGGUGCCCGCUCACAGCUUUCUUGUGUAAAGAAACGUGUAACUGGGUGAAAUAACACAGGCGGUGCGCUUGCCUUCGUGUCUGCUCCAAGGAUGCGCCCCCGACCCGCGUCACUCCCACGGCUCGCUGCUUGCUGCCUGUUACCGACGACUCGCACUCAGCACCCAGCACCUUUACUCUGCGUACCUUAAACACACCCCCGAGUGUCCCCGUCUUCCCCGGAGGUGGGAGGGGAGGACGGACCUGCUGGAGCUCCUCGGGAAGCCCCCGGCAUGAGGGACGCUGGGGGCAUCACUACAAACUCCCACUGGUUCCCUCAGACCUAAACUAACCCCCGGGCACUGCGGCGGGCAGAGUAACGGCCCCUGGAGACGCCCCCAGCCGGGGCCGGGCUGCUUCACGGGCCGACGGCGGCAGGGUAGCAGGUGGUCGCUCAUCGGCUGCUGUGAGGCGUGCAGAGCCACCUGCAGUCGCUGGGGUCCUUGGACACCGGCGAGGGAGGCAGGCGGAAGAGCAUCUGGGAUGGGAGGACUCAGCGGGCUCUCGGCGGCACUCGCUCGGCCGGGGACAGAGGACGGCCCCGGGGCUGAGGAACACGGCAGCUCCGGGAGCGGAAAGGGCAGGGAAAGGGAUUCUCCCCGGAGCCUCCAGAAGGAACGCGGCCCUGCUGACAUCUCGAUUUUCGUCCAAUGAGACUCAUUUCGGACUUCCGACUUCCAGACGUGUAAGGACACCCCUUCCUCGGAGUAAAUGCUACGGAACUACAUGGCUCGGGGUUGAAUCCACGGAUUCAGAAUCUCAAAUACGGGUGAGGGGGCGACAUACGUUAUGCAAGGAUCUCCACCUGGGAGGCGGGUAGAUGCCCAACCCCUCCUGUGCAACUGUGUUAAAACUGCUCCGCCCACGGCGACUGGAGCACGCGUGCCCACGUGUGGCCGGGACUCUGAUGGGAGGGGCACUUUCUCCUCUGGCGGCAGGACUUUUCUCGCAUGGACAGAAAAUAAGCGACAGCGUCCGCCUGCCUCUGCUGGGUUCUUCCGGGGCACUUAUGCCCUCUGCUCGGGAGGCCCGCACGUGUAGGUGAAUGUCGUGGACAGUGCAUCGUGGGAGGCCAGAGAAGUGGCGGAAGGGGAGAGAUGCCUCCACCUAGUGCCGUGCCGAGACCUCGGAAGUGAUUCCUUCCUCGAUUCUGGUCCAGUGAAGACUCUCCAACUGGUCCUUACACACCCACGGCCAUGGCCAAGCACACGGAAUUAAGCCAUAGCUCGGGUCAGAAAAUUCCUUCAGGCUGGUGGUGAGUUGAAAUGCACCCCCAAAUCUGUAUUCUGAAGGUCGAACCCCAGUUCCUAGGACGUGGGCUUACUUGGAUCAAGAUCAUUGCAGAUGUCAGGAGGAAGAUGAGGUCCAACCUGGGGGAAGUGGAUGCUACUCCAGUGUCACCGCUAUCCUUAUAAAAAGGGGAAAUCUGGACGCAGCACACACAGAAAUGACACCGUGUGAAGAGGAAGCCAGAGGUGGAGGUGACGUUUCUAUCAACGGAGGAAAACCCAGAUGGCCAGCAGCUACCAGAGGCUGGGAGAGUCCCGGGUCAGAUUCUCGAAGCCGCAGAAGGAACCACCCGGGUCUCAAACUUCCAGCCUCCAGAUUCAGAUAAUGAGCUCCUACGGGCUAAGCCCUGGCCUGCAGGAUUUCGUCAUGACCCCAGCAAACUACCGCAGGCCUCUUUCCCCAGGUCGUGGUUGACCCACCAGCUUGGCUUCCGAGCAGAUUGCUCCUCUCCUGGCAGCGUUGGGGUCUGGAGCCUGGAUUUCCACCACCCCUUUCCGUUCUGACUCAGGGUUCCCACCCACUCCCUUUGGUGCCAACUUCCCGUAGCAAACUCACAUCCUCUCUGAGUCCCACUUUCCAAUCUUCAGGUAGAACAAGCCACCCUCUCCUUCCACUCUGCCCCCUGACCCGUCCAUACCAGCUUUUUCACGCCUUCUGGUCUCAGGACCUCUUUCACACAAACCCCAGUGCAAGCACCGUAUCUCCAGAGACUGACUGCAGAGGCAUCUUUGAAGAUCCACUGUCUGCUAUGAAGCCAGACAUUAAAGAGGUUUGCAAAAUGUAAACCAAUGCCACUCUCUAAUUUUUUUGUUUUUGAAAACAUAGUUAUUUUUCAUGGCAAUAUGUUGUUUAUACUUAUACAUAAUAAGUUUAUUACUGUUCUUUUAGAUGAAUUCAUAAGUGGUUUUAAAUUUUUGCAAAGUUAAUUUUGAACAUGAUUAUAUGUCAAUAUUAAUAGAUAAAAUA
rnacentral:lncRNA from 9 species